CGGGAAGACAAAAAUCCUUCAAUUUAGACGUCGGUUCUGAACGUAAGCGACAUCUACAUUCCUGUAAUUGAUUAUUUUCACCAAAUUCGAGGGUUUUAGACGUCGGCUAGGAGGGACACCGAUGUGAACUACCCUGAUAGGAAAUCAAGUGUCAAUCUUUUUAGCUUCUUUAAGAAGAAUAGACGUCGGAUCCCGAUCAAACACUGACGUCUAUAGACGUCGGUUUCUGGCGCAACCGACGCCCAAUUUCAUUUUAAAUAGACCGCAAACCCUUCUAACCACUCAGUUUCUGAUCGCGUCUUCAUCUCUUCUCCUUUUUCUCUGCUUCUCCUCUUCUUUUACUCCCUUGCGCACCUCUACUUUUUAUCUCUUCCGGCAUUGCAUUGUAUUUUCCCAUAACGUCAUUGUCUUCAUCCUCUCAUUUUUCUCUCUUCAUCCUAGGUGCGUGGUUUUUCUUAUGCUUACCGUUUAAACUUUCUUUAGUUUUUUUAUCGAUUAUCUUGUCGUUCAACUGAAUAAAAUUUGCCUUUUUUGUGUUGUGUUUUAGUGCAGUUUUGAUCCACUCUUUUGGUAACAUAGUGCAACAUUCUCCCUUUGCUAGCUUCCUC
rnacentral:lncRNA from 1 species